GACGAACGCUGGCUGCGUGCUUAACACAUGCAAGUCGAACGGAAAGGCCCUGCUUUUGUGGGGUGCUCGAUUGGCGAACGGGUGAGUAACACGUGAGUAACCUGCCCUUGACUUUGGGAUAACUUCAGGAAACUGGGGCUAAUACCGGAUAGGAUCUCCUGCUGCAUGGUGGGGGUUGGAAAGUUUCGGCGGUUGGGGAUGGACUCGCGGCUUAUCAGCUUGUUGGUGGGGUAGUGGCUUACCAAGGCUUUGACGGGUAGCCGGCCUGAGAGGGUGAACGGCCACAUUGGGACUGAGAUACGGCCCAGACGCCUACGGGAGGCAGCAGUGGGGAAUAUUGCACAAUGGGCGGAAGCCUGAUGCAGAAACGCCGCGUGCGGGAUGACGGGCUUCGAGUUGUAAACCGAUUUCGCCUGUGACGAAGCGUGAGUGACGGUAAUGGGUAAAGAAGCACCGGCUAACUACGUG
rnacentral:rRNA from 1 species